GACGAACGCUGGCGGCGUGCUUAACACAUGCAAGUCGAACGCUGAAGCUUGGUGCUUGCACUGUGUGGAUGAGUGGCGAACGGGUGAGUAAUACGUGAGUAACCUGCCCUUAACUCUGGGAUAAGCCUGGGAAACCGGGUCUAAUCCCGGAUACCACAUGUCACCGCAUGGUGGUGUGUGGAAAGGGUUUUACUGUUUUUGGAUGGGCUCACGGCCUAUCGGCUUGUUGGUGGGGUAAUGGCCCACGAAGGCAAGGCCGGGUAGCCGACCUGAGAGGGGGGCCGGCCACACUGGGACUAAGGCACGGCCCAGAAUGGAACGGGAGGCAGCGGUGGGAAGUAUUGCGCAGUGGGCGGGAGCCAGGGGCAGCGACGCCGCGUGAGGAAUGACGGCCUUCGGGUUAUAAACCUCUUUCAGCGCGGAAGAGGCGAUAGUGACGGUACGUGCAGAAGAAGCGCCGGCUAACUACGUG
rnacentral:rRNA from 1 species